ensembl:misc_RNA 7SK 7SK RNA
AGAUAUGAGGGCAAUCUGGCUGUGACAUCUGUCACCCCUUGAUUGCCAGGGUUGAUUCGGCUGAUCUGGCUGGCAAGGGAGGUGUUCCCUUCCUCCUCACUGCUCCAUCUGUGUCCUUCCUGAGGCCAUAUGCUUGGUCAAAGGGUAUGAUCGAGCCCAAUGGAGCAGACCCACUUCCUCACCAAUAUUAUAUGAGUAAUAGUGCUCCUCUGCUAGAAGCCCAAAUUAAGCUAUCAAAUGUGCACCUAUUUCCCCCUCCUCUCUUCUCAUAUCCAGACUUGUGGACACAGAUAUGUAAUGGACAUUACAAAUUUCAAAAACAUAACUUGCCACCAAAACAAUCAAUACUUU